rnacentral:ncRNA from 1 species
UAUGAUGUGAUGAUGGAGAAUAGUAAAAAGAUGAUACUAUCCAGAGAGUAAGAGAGUGGUGGAACUCUUACAGUUUAGUCUUUUGAACCCGCUCCUGAGCAUGUUUAAGAUAAAGUUGAGUCUUAUAGAGACUAAUGAGGGUGGUACCGCGGGUAAUCUCUCGUCCCUUUU